rnacentral:lncRNA from 1 species
AAACAAACACCCCCAAAAGCUAUACUCUGGUCGACCAGAGGAACCCCAGGGGCGACACCCACCAUUCCAAACCCUAGUUCACAAGAAAUCCUACAAAUUGAAGGCUUUAAUCAGUUAGAAAUCGAAAUCCAAGCAUAGAAUCGUGAUCACCUUGUCAAGGGGAUCCUAAGAAAUUGUGAAAUUGGGAGUAAUAUGAAGCAAGGAAUCCGGGACGUCAAGCGGACACGCCGGAGGAGACAUACGCGGAAAGGGAGUGCUUUAAAGGUGACUUGGAACUAAUCGGAAGAUGGUCGAGCUAGCUUUGGAUGAACCGAACACUAUCUACAAGCUUCCGCUUUAGUUUAACUUCAAUGGUUUUUGUUUUAGACAAAUGUAGACAAUUAACAAUUCAGUUUUCGAAUGUUUUAAUCUAGUACUAGUUUCGCUAAACGUUUGUUACGUAUGAAAUCCAUGUAAGGAAUUUAUGUUUUUCUAAGUAUGUUUUCACUUAAAAGGCUUCAAGUGUUUUAUAAUCUAGUAUAUUUUAAAGGGUGUUACAAGUUG